CCUACGGGAGGCAGCAGUGAGGAAUAUUGGUCAAUGGACGCGAGUCUGAACCAGCCAAGUAGCGUGAAGGAUGACUGCCCUAUGGGUUGUAAACUUCUUUUAUAUGGGAAUAAAAUGCAGUAUGUAUACUGCUUUGCAUGUACCUUAUGAAUAAGGAUCGGCUAACUCCGUGCCAGCAGCCGCGGUAAUACGGAGGAUCCGAGCGUUAUCCGGAUUUAUUGGGUUUAAAGGGAGCGUAGGUGGGUUGUUAAGUCAGUUGUGAAAGUUUGCGGCUCAACCGUAAAAUUGCAGUUGAUACUGGCAGUCUGGAGUACAGUAGAGGUAGGCGGAAUUCGUGGUGUAGCGGUGAAAUGCUUAGAUAUCACGAAGAACUCCGAUUGCGAAGGCAGCCCGCUGGACUGUAACUGACGCUGAUGCUCGAAAGUGUGGGUAUCAAACAGGAUUAGAUACCCGAGUAGUC
rnacentral:rRNA from 1 species